AGUUUUUCUUGAGGAUAAGAGUACUAUCAGUAACCCCGAGGCUGAAGUUGAAAGGCUCAAAAAGAAGAAAGAAGAGACGAGGAAGUAAGUGAAAUUUCAUAGACUAGACCAGUAUUAAAAAUUUUGAGGACGUGGUGAGAGGCGUGCCCAGUUCGGAGAAGAUUGUGGUAGCAGGGGAUUUCAACGGGCACAUCGGGGCGCUACCGGGAGGCUUUGGGGAUGUGCAUGGAGGUUUUGGUUUUGGGGAGAGAAAUGAAGAGGGGGCGACCCUAUUGGAGUUUGCGAGGGCGUUUGGGCUGGUGGUGGUGAACUCGGGCUUCCCGAAGAAGGACGACCACCUGAUCACUUUUCGGAGCGCGGUAGCCAGGACCCAGAUUGACUUCUUGUUGCUUAGGAAAGGGGAUAGGGCGCUGUGUAAAGAUUGUAAAGUCAUCCCGAGUGAGAACCUUUCGACCCAACAUAGGCUCUUGGUUAUGGAUUUGGGUAUGAAGAAGAAUAAAAAGAGGAGGAGUAAGGAGUGUAGACCGAGAAUUAAGUGGGGCGGUUUGACGCCAGUGAAUGCGUGGGAGAUAGGGGAGAGGUUGGCGGGAAUGGGGGUGUGGGAGUGUAGGGGGGACGUGGAUAAUAUGUGGGACAGGGCGGCAGCGUGCAUCAGGGAAAAUGCAAGGGAGGUGUUGGGUGUUUCUAGGGGCCGGGCCGGACAUCAUCGGGGGGAUUGGUGGUGGAAUGAAGAGGUGGGGAAGAAAGUGGAGACCAAGAAAGAGUCGUAUGCUAAGUUGGUGGAAAGUAAGGACGAAGAGGAGAAGCGGGUAAACAGGAAAGAGUACAAGCUAGCAAGGAAGGAGGCGAAGUCAGCGGUCACGGCAGCUAAGACGGCUGCUUUUGAGAGCUUGUAUGCAGGGUUACAGGGGAAAGGAGGGGAGAAAAAGUUGUUCCGACUCGCUAAGGCUAGGGAGAGGAAGGGUCGUGACCUCGAUCAGGUGCGGUGCAUUAAGGGGGAGGACGGUAGAGUGUUGGUGGAGGACGGCCACAUAAAGAAGAGAUGGCAGUCGUACUUUCAUAGGCUCUUGAAUGACGAGGGGGACAGAGCUAUUGUGUUAGGGGAACUGGAGCACUCAGGGGAGUGUCGGGAUUUUAGCUAUUGUAGACGUUUUAAGGUAGACGAGGUUAGACAGGCAGUCCGCAGGAUGCGAAGGGGUAGGGCGACGGGGCCGGAUGAGAUACCGGUGGAGUUUUGGAAGUUCGUUGGAGAGGCUGGUGUAAGGUGGUUGACUGCAUUGUUCAAUGAAAUUUUCAGGACAGCAAAGAUGCCCGAGGCGUGGAGGUGGAGUACCAUGAUCCCCCUCUAUAAGAAUAAGGGGGACAUUCAGUGUUGCAAUAACUAUAGGGGGAUUAAGUUACUGAGUCACUCUAUGAAGAUCUGGGAGAGAGUGGUCGAGGUGAGGCUGAGACGGAUAGUGUCUAUCUCGGAAAACCAGUUCGGAUUUAUGCCCGGCCGCUCGACGACGGAGGCAAUUCACCUGGUACGGCGGUUGGUGGAGCAAUAUAGGGAAAGGAAGAAGGAUUUGCACAUGGUGUUCAUCGACCUAGAAAAGGCGUACGACAAAGUCCCCAGGGAGGUGCUUUGGAGAUGCUUGGAGGUGAGUGGAGUACCGCAGGCAUAUAGCAGAGUAAUUAAGGAUAUGUAUGAGGGAGCGAAAACCCAGGUGAGGACGGCGGGAGGAGACUCAGAGCAUUUCACUGUCCUGACAGGAUUGCAUCAGGGAUCUACUCUUAGUCCCUUUUUGUUUGCGCUAGUAAUGGAUGUGUUAACGCGGCGUAUCCAAGGGGAGGUGCCGUGGUGUAUGCUUUUUGCAGACGAUGUAGUCCUGAUAGAUGAGACGCGAGGGGGUGUGAACGACAAAUUAGAGCUGUGGAGGCAAACUCUGGAGUCUAAAGGGUUCAGGGUGAGCAGAACCAAGACAGAGUAUGUGGAAUGUAAGUUUAAUGACGUAAGGCGAGAGAAUGAGGUAGUGGUGAGGCUAGAAGCGCAGGAGGUAAAGAAAAGGGAUAAGUUCAAGUACCUCGGGUCCGUGAUCCAGAGUAACGGUGAGAUUGACGAGGAUGUCUCGCACCGUAUCGGGGCGGGAUGGAUGAAGUGGAAACUUGCAUCGGGGGUGCUGUGUGAUAAGAAGGUGCCGCCCAAGCUUAAAGGUAAAUUCUAUAGGGUGGUAGUCCGUCCGGCCUUGCUGUAUGGAGCGGAGUGUUGGCCAGUUAAGAACUCCCACACCCAAAGAAUGAAGGUGGCAGAAAUGCGGAUGUUGCGCUGGAUGUGUGGACUGACCCGAAGGGAUAGAGCUCGGAAUGAGACUAUCCGGGAGAAGGUUGGGGUGACUUCAGUGGAGUGUAAGAUGCGGGAAGCACGAUUGAGAUGGUUCGGACACGUGAAGAGGAGGGGCAUGGAUGCCCCGGUCCGUAGGUGUGAGAGGCUAGCGUUGGAUGGUUUUAGACGGGGUAGGGGUAGACCGAAGAAGUACUGGGGUGAGGUGAUUAGGCGGGACAUGGAACAGUUACAGCUUACCGAGGACAUGACCCUAGAUAGGAAGGUCUGGAAGACGCGAAUUACGGCAGAGGAUUAGGGCCUGUUCGGGUCGCUAAUGUAGGGAGGUAAUUGGUGGGGGUGUAUUCCUGGUAUGAUUCCGUAUUCAAUGUUCUGUUCCGUGUUCCGUGUUCUAUGUUUGUUACGAAAUCUGUGUGCUUUCCCCUGCUUUCCUCUGCUUUAUAUUACUUAUGGGUGCCGUAUUUAUGCCCAUGUUCUAUUGGGACUUUUGAUAUUAAUCUGGCUCAAUGUAAUUUGGAAGUAGGAAUAAAUAUAAUUUCGUUAGUGAUAUACGAAUCUGCUUCUGUGCUGUACUAUGUGUUUGUUUGAUAUCUCGUAACUUGAGCCGGGGGUCUUUCGGAAACAGCCUUUCUACUUCAUCAGAGGUAGAGGUAUGGACUGCGUACAUCUUACCCCCCCCAGACCCCACAAAGUGGGAAUACACUGGGUUUGUUGUUGUUGUUGUUGAUUUUCUGGCUAGUAGGAUAAGUGCCAUUGAAUUGCUUUCCUUUGCGCUAGACCAUCACUUUUUCCUGUUCGGGAAUGAAGAAAAUUAGCUUGUGUAGAAGAGAAGUAAAAGCUAUGUUGAGUCUUAUGUUUGCUUGAACUCUUCAAAUAUGUCCUCCAAAAGUAAUGCAUUUUUGGAGGAUCUGACACGGGUGUGACAACUUUGGAGAGUGAAAUAUUUAUAUUUUUUUGAUAACCAUGGUGUCCGGGCCAGCCUAUGCGCACCUCGACCAAAUCCAUGGAAUACUUGCCACCUCCCACCAGCAACAACAACAAGGUACCAAGUAGAAAUCACCAAGGCUAGAAUGAUGGGAAGAAAUCGCCUAGCGUUUUGUCUCUAUUGGGAAUUGAACCUGAAACCUCAUGGUGCUAACCCCACUUUGCUAACCACUAGACACACCCUUGGGUGCAGAAAUAUAUAUUGAAUCAGUAUAUAAAGCAUUUCAGAUUGCUAAAACAGGAAAUUGGUGGUUGUCUUUAGUUUUACGAGUUACUGAAACUUAAGGAUGUCCCAGUUAGGUAAAGCAUAUAGUCAAUGAGUUAUGCUGAGAAAGAUGUUGCACGAAUUAGGAAACGUUGUGUAAAAGAUCAAUCUUGCUUUUCGCUAGAUAUUACAAUCGUUCUCCAGAAAUUCAUUAUCUUUAUGUACGCCUGGCAUGUUAUUCCUUUGUUAGUCCGAAAUCACAAAUUGUACCAAAUUUUGUUCAGUUAGUGCAUCCAUUUUAUGAAGAGUGAAUAAAUGUAAUUUAGCG
rnacentral:lncRNA from 1 species